rnacentral:rRNA from 1 species
CCUACGGGAGGCAGCAGUAGGGAAUCUUUCACAAUGGGCGAAAGCCUGAUGGAGCAACGCCGCGUGCAGGAUGAAGGUCUUCGGGUUGGAAACUGCUUUUAUAAGCGAGGAAUAUGAUGGUAACUUAUGAAUAAGGCGCGGCUAACUACGUGCCAGCAGCCGCGGUCAUACGUAGGAUCCGAGCAUUAUCCGGAGUGACUGGGUGUAAAGAGGUGCGUAGGGGGCAUAAUAAGUAGCUAGUGAAAUCUGGUGGCGCAACCAUUCAGACUAUUCGCUAAACUGUUAAGCUCGAGACAGUUAGGGGUAAGUGGAAUUUCUAGUGUAGGAGUGAAAUCCGUAGAUAUUAGAAGGAACACCAAUAGCGUAGGCAGGUUACUGGGACGCUUCUGACGCUAAGGCACGAAAGCGUAGGGAGCAAACGGGAUUAGAUACCCUUGUAGUC